AUCCAGACUCCUACGGGAGGCAGCAGUGGGGGAUAUUGCACAAUGGGGGGAACCCUGAUGCAGCGACGCCGCGUGGGUGGAGGAGCGUUUCGGCGCGUAAAGCCCUGUCAGCAGGGAAGAAAAUGACGGUACCUGAAGAAGAAGCCCCGGCUAACUACGUGCCAGCAGCCGCGGUAAUACGUAGGGGGCAAGCGUUAUCCGGAUUUACUGGGUGUAAAGGGGGCGCAGACGGCGAUGCAAGCCAGGAGUGAAAGCCCGGGGCCCAACCCCGGGACUGCUCUUGGAACUGCGUGGCUGGAGUGCAGGAGGGGCAGGCGGAAUUCCUGGUGUAGCGGUGAAAUGCGUAGAUAUCAGGAGGAACACCGGUGGCGAAGGCGGCCUGCUGGACUGCAACUGACGUUGAGGCCCGAAAGCGUGGGGAGCAAACAGGAUUAGAUACCCUGGUA
rnacentral:rRNA from 1 species